rnacentral:rRNA from 1 species
UACGGGGGGAGCAAGCGUUGUUCGGAUUUACUGGGCGUAAAGGGCGCGUAGGCGGUCGUGACAAGUCACUUGUGAAAUCUCCGGGCUUAACUCGGAACGGUCAAGUGAUACUGUCGGACUAGAGUACAGAAGGGGCAACUGGAAUUCUCGGUGUAGCGGUGAAAUGCGUAGAUAUCGAGAGGAACACCUGCGGCGAAGGCAGGGUCUCUGGGCCACUACUGACGCUGAGAG